rnacentral:rRNA from 1 species
UGAAAUCUCGGGGCUCAACCUCGAAACUGCGUCUGAAACUACAGGUCUAGAAUCUCGGAGGGGGAAGGGGAAUUUCGCAUGUAGGGGUAAAAUCCGUAGAUAUGCGAAGGAACACCAGAGGCGAAGGCGCCUUCCUGGACGAGUAUUGACGCUGAGGCGCGAAAGCGUGGGGAUCAAACAGGAUUAGAUACCCUGGUAGUCCACGCUGUAAACUAUGAACACUAGGUAUUGGAGGAUUUGACCCCUUCAGUGCCGUAGCUAACGCGUUAAG